UACGUAGGGUGCGAGCGUUGUCCGGAAUUAUUGGGCGUAAAGGGCUCGUAGGCGGUUUGUCGCGUCGGGAGUGAAAACCUCGGGCUUAACUCGGGGCUUGCUUUCGAUACGGGCAGACUAGAGGUAUGCAGGGGAGAACGGAAUUCCUGGUGUAGCGGUGAAAUGCGCAGAUAUCAGGAGGAACACCGGUGGCGAAGGCGGGUCAUCUGGGCAAUAACUGACGCUGAGGAGCGAAAGCGUGGGGAGCAAACAGGAUUAGAACGUACCGACGUAGUCCAAGACCAGUCUCGUGACCUGACCGAUAAC
rnacentral:rRNA from 1 species